AUACAUACCUGGCACAGGUGAUGCCGUGAUCACGAAGGCGCUUCUCCUAGGGCGAAGCUCACCAUUGCACUCAGUUGGCGCCGACCCCAGCGAAUAACCCAAAUGUGAUUAAAUCGAGUGCGCAAUUUUUGGUAGCGGGGGCCUGCGUUCCCUUA
rnacentral:snRNA from 1 species